CCUACGGGUGGCAGCAGUGAGGAAUAUUGGUCAAUGGACGCGAGCCUGAACCAGCCAAGUAGCGUGAAGGAUGACUGCCCUAUGGGUUGUAAACUUCUUUUAUAUGGGAAUAAAAUGAUCCACGUGUGGCAUUUUGUAUGUACCAUAUGAAUAAGGAUCGGCUAACUCCGUGCCAGCAGCCGCGGUAAUACGGAGGAUCCGAGCGUUAUCCGGAUUUAUUGGGUUUAAAGGGAGCGUAGAUGGAUUGUUAAGUCAGUUGUGAAAGUUUGCGGCUCAACCGUAAAAUUGCAGUUGAUACUGGCAGUCUUGAGUGCAGUAGAGGUGGGCGGAAUUCGUGGUGUAGCGGUGAAAUGCGUAGAUAUCAGGAAGAACUCCGAUGGCGAAGGCAGCCUACUGGACUGCAACUGACGUUGAGGCUCGAAAGCGUGGGGAUCAAACAGGAUUAGAUACCCCAGUAGUC
rnacentral:rRNA from 1 species